rnacentral:tRNA from 1 species
GAGGGUGUAGCCCAGUGGUAGAGCACAUGCUUAGCAUGCACCAGGUCCUAGGUUCAAUCCCUGGUACCUCCA